CAUCCACUCACCGUAGCCCCGGCCAAAAUGUCCACAGCGACUCCCUCCCCCACCUUCUUCUUCCUCCUCCCAUCCCCGACAGGGUGCUUCCUACUGCAGCCGUCACCGAUCUGCUCAUCCGCAGCAUGACUCCGCAUCCUGGCCGCCUCGUCCUACCCCCAGUGGCUCCUUCUCUCUUAUUCCCGCCGCCUGCUGUCCAUCAUGCCUCCUUCCGCAGACACGGUGAUAGCCUACUCUGCUGCACAGCGCCGCCUCCAGGUGCCUCGCUCGUCCGUCCUCUCCGCCUCCCUCCGCCGGCGAAAGUUUGGGCUCGCUCCGCCGCUGCUGUUCCGGGUUGUGCAACAAUGAGAUAUGAUGAGAGUAUCACAUUUUCUGGUUAUAUCUCGAGGUCGUGGGUACUAAGAAUUAGCAGCUAUUAAAUGACAUGGAGAGAUUUCAGCAACUUAAGUUAUUUGCUCCUGACACCAAGAAUGUCCGUUAGGACUAUUAGUUUGGUGACAAAGGUCACUUGUGAGACAGGGAUGUGAAAUAUCCAUCUGUUUAUUUUAUCUAAGAUAACUUUGUGAGGUGUUUGCGAUGAAUGUAACAAAGAUGUUGAUGUGUGACUUGUUAACUUGUGUAUUUGGUCAUGAAUGGAAUAUUUGUUGGGCACACAUGUUAUUU